GACGAACGCUGGCGGCGUGCUUAACACAUGCAAGUCGAACGGAAAGGCCCUGCUUUUGUGGGGUGCUCGAUUGGCGAACGGGUGAGUAACACGUGAGUAACCUGCCCUUGACUUUGGGAUAACUUCAGGAAACUGGGGCUAAUACCGGAUAGGAGCUCCUGCUGCAUGGUGGGGGUUGGAAAGUUUCGGCGGUUGGGGAUAGACUCGCGGCUUAUCAGCUUGUUGGUCAGGUAGUGGCUUACCAAGGCUUUGACGGGUAGCCGGCCUGAGAGGGUUAACGGCCACAUUGGGACUGAGAUACGGAGCAGAAUGCUACGGGAGGCAGUAGUGGGGGAUAUGGCACAGCGGGCCGAAGCCAGUGACAGCGACGCCGGGUGCGGGAUGACGGCCUACGGGUGAAGAACCGCUUUCGCCUGAGACGUAGAGUGAGUGACGGUAAUGGGUAAAGAAGCACCGGCUAACUACGUG
rnacentral:rRNA from 1 species